rnacentral:SRP_RNA from 1 species
GCCGGGUGCGGUGGCAUGUGCCUGUAAUCCAAGUCACUGGGAGGCUGAGGUUGGUGGAUCAAGUGAGCUGAGGAGCUCUGGGCUGCAGCACACUAUGUUGAACUGGGUGUCCACGCUAAGUUCGGUAUCGAUAUGGUGUUCCAGGGGGAGCCCGGGACCACCAGGUUGUCUAAGGAGGGGUGAACCGGCCCAGGUCGGAAACGAAGCAGGUCAAAUCCCCCGUGCUGUCCAGUAGUUGGAUAAUACCUGUGAGUAGAUGCUGCAGUGCAGCCUUGGCAAAACAUCGAGACCUAAUCUUUU